UACGUAGGUCGCAAGCGUUGUCCGGAUUACUGGGCGUAAAGAGCGCGCAGGCGGCUGGCCAAGUCCGAUGUGAAAUCUCCCGGCUUAACCGGGAAACUGCAUCGGAAACUGGUCGGCUUGAAGGUGGGAGAGGGUAGCGGAAUUCCCGGUGUAGUGGUGAAAUGCGUAGAUAUCGGGAGGAACACCAGUGGCGAAGGCGGCUACCUGGCCCAUUCUUGACGCUGAGGCGCGAAAGCUAGGGGAGCAAACGGG
rnacentral:rRNA from 1 species